rnacentral:lncRNA from 1 species
GGGCGCCCCAACUGGGGCUGAUGUAGUUUCCCGACCUCUGACAUGUAGGAUCUGGAGAUUAAAGCUGCUCUGCUAAUAAUUAGGUUCCCACCUCUCAAGAUCAUUAGGAGCUUCAUUUCCAAUUCCUCUGUUUUGCAUGCAUUGGAAGGCCCCUGGAUCCUCCUGGAAUCCCCGAUCCCUGUUGCUCCCUCGGGGAGCUUU